UACGGGGGGAGCAAGCGUUGUUCGGAUUUACUGGGCGUAAAGGGCGCGUAGGCGGCGCAACAAGUCACUUGUGAAAUCUCCGGGCUUAACCCGGAGCGGCCAAGUGAUACUGUCGUGCUAGAGUGCGGAAGGGGCUACUGGAAUUCUCGGUGUAGCGGUGAAAUGCGUAGAUAUCGAGAGGAACACCCGGGGCGAAGGCGGCCCUCUGGCUCGACCCUGACGCUGAGGCGCGAAAGCGUGGGGAGCGAACGGG
rnacentral:rRNA from 1 species